rnacentral:rRNA from 1 species
GACGAACGCUGGCGGCGUGCUUAACACAUGCAAGUCGAACGGAAAGGCCCUGCUUUUGUGGGGUGCUCGAGUGGCGAACGGGUGAGUAACACGUGAGUAACCUGCCCUUGACUUUGGGAUAACUUCAGGAAACUGGGGCUAAUACCGGAUAGGAGCUCCUGCUGCAUGGUGGGGGUUGGAAAGUUUCGGCGGUUGGGGAUGGACUCGCGGCUUAUCAGCUUGUUGGUGGGGUAGUGGCUUACCAAGGCUUUGACGGGUAGCCGGCCUGAGAGGGUGACCGGCCACAUUGGGACUGAGAUACGGCGCAGACGCGUAUGGGAGGCAGCGGUGGGGAGUAUUGCACAAUGGGCGGGAGCCUGAUGCGACAGCGCUGCGUGCGGGAUGACGGCCUUCGGGUUGUGAACCGCUUUCGCCUGUGACGAAGCGUGAGUGACGGUAAUGGGUAAAGAAGCACCGGCUAACUACGUG